GACGAACGCUGGCGGCGUGCUUAACACAUGCAAGUCGAACGGUAAGGCCCUUCGGGGUACACGAGUGGCGAACGGGUGAGUAACACGUGGGUGAUCUACCCUGCACUUCGGGAUAAGCCUGGGAAACUGGGUCUAAUACCGGAUAGGACUCCGGACUGCAUGGGCUGGGGUGGAAAGCUUUUGCGGUGUGGGAUGGGCCCGCGGCCUAACAGCUUGUUGGUGGGGUGAUGGCCUACCAAGGCGACGACGGGUAGCCGGCCUGAGAGGGUGACCGGCCACACUGGGACUGAGAUACGGCCCAGACUCCAACGGGAGGCAGCAGUGGGGAAUAUUGCACAAUGGGCGCAAGCCUGAUGCAGCGACGCCGCGUGGGGGAUGACGGCCUUCGGGUUGUAAACCUCUUUCAGCAUCGACGAAGCGAAAGUGACGGUAGGUGCAGAAGAAGGACCGGCUAACUACGUGCCAGCCGCCGCGGUAA
rnacentral:rRNA from 1 species